rnacentral:rRNA from 1 species
UAUGUGAUCGUCUCUCGCAUAUCAAUAAGCGGAGGAAAAGAAACUAACAAGGAUUCCCCUAGUAACGGCGAGUGAAGCGGAAAGAGCUCAAAUUUGAAAUCUUAAAGGGUUUCCCUUUACGAAUUGUAGUUUAAAGAAGUGUUUUCUGUUGAGGUUUUGGUAAAAGUUCUUUGGAAUAGGACAUCAUAGAGGGUGAGAAUCCCGUAUUUGACCUUUACUUUCAACUUUGUGAUACACUUUCAAAGAGUCGGAUUGUUUGGGAAUGCAGUCCAAAAUGGGUGGUAAAUUUCAUCUAAAGCUAAAUAUUGGCGAGAGACCGAUAGCGAACAAGUACCGUGAGGGAAAGAUGAAAAGAACUUUGAAAAGAGAGUUAAACAGUACGUGAAAUUGUCAAAAGGGAAGCGUUUGACACCAGUGUUGUUUUCUGAAAAUCAAUUAAAGAACUGUUUAUGCUAAGUUGUUUAGACUUUAUCAGCUAACUGUUUAGUUUUGAGCUUUUCUUUAAUGCACUUUUCAGUUAACAAGUCAACAUCAAUUUCUUUUGCUGUAAAAAAGCUUGAGGAAGGUGGCUUGAGAUUCGUCUUAAGUGUUUAUAGCCUCUUGCCUAUGCAGUCGGAGAGAUUGAGGUCUGCAGCGUAGAUCCUUCGGGGCUAAAUGCAUUUGUGCUAAGUUAUAGCAUUUUAUAGACAACUUGUUGACUAUGAUUUGUCUUGUAGCUUACUCGCUUAUGUUAUUUUACCUACGCUUAGGAUGUUGAAGUCAUCGUAUCGCGC